GUCACCUCGAAAAUAAAGAUAAUGUAGUGAAGCUCGUUCUGAACUGAAUUACAUUCAAGCGAUUCUGAAUCACUUGAAUGCUAUGCGAAAAAUCUCGUUUACACAGACCAAUUCUCAGUCCUAGUGGAGACCAUACCAAGCAAAGGAAUUUCAGUAGGAGAAGGAAAAGCUAAAGGUAGGAGAAUGAAUUCCAUCAACCUAUGAAACUGUGGAAUACAUCCUCUAGCGAGUGAAGUGAGGUCGGACAACCGCGAAGGGAGAUAUCCGUAGGCGUAUAGGUGUAUCCCAGCUCUAUUGCUUUCAGCUGAAGAUGGAGAGGUUGAUGACUCGGACUUAGGACGUGAAGCUACUAUGGGAGAAAUUGUGUUUGGAAGAAAUCCAUUGAUAAAAGGGUGGAUUGAAAGUAGAAGAGAGCUUAUGCUCGACUGUAUAAAAUAUAGAUUUUCUCUUCCAGCCAGUAAAGUGAACCUUAGUCUUUUGUCUUUCCUUUAGGAAAUGUGAAUUGUUUCUUUCUAGCCUUAUCAGCAGACCUGCGAGCAGCACCCCAAACCUUAUGAUGAACACCAAAAAUGCCAGGUCGCCUAAGAAAAGAAGUUUCAUGUUGGAUUCGGUGAAGAUGCCUCGCAAAAACCUUAGGAACCUACUUCUUUUUGUUCAGUGAGAUGAAGGCAUCCCGCUUACGGAGAAAUCAAAUCGAACUACUUUAGAGACUUCCAUGACAACCAGCCCACGCACGCACUUUCCUGCACCCGCUCGCAAUAGAGGCAAUGAAAUGGAUUCCCCGAUCCUUCUUAUUAUGGUGUUUGAACUGAUGACAAUCUUCCUUGCUUUUUUCGAUGCUUCAGAUCCCGAUGCUGGAUACGCAGAUUAUGAUCCCAAUAAUGCCAAUCAUCCAAUCAUUCAUUUGACUAUCAUGCCUACCUGAACGAUUACCAAGCCCAGCCCUUGACUCUCCCUAAAAAGUGUAAAUUUAUACUACAAAACCCUCAAAGGUGGAUCUCCUUUUGACUAUCCUCCCCUAUCCCUCGAUUGGCAUUCGUGUUCAAACACCUGUGCUCU
rnacentral:lncRNA from 1 species